rnacentral:rRNA from 1 species
GGUUAAGCGACUAAGCGUACACGGUGGAUGCCCUGGCAGUCAGAGGCGAUGAAGGACGUGCUAAUCUGCGAUAAGCGUCGGUAAGGUGAUAUGAACCGUUAUAACCGGCGAUUUCCGAAUGGGGAAACCCAGUGUGAUUCGUCACACUAUCAUUAACUGAAUCCAUAGGUUAAUGAGGCGAACCGGGGGAACUGAAACAUCUAAGUACCCCGAGGAAAAGAAAUCAACCGAGAUUCCCCCAGUAGCGGCGAGCGAACGGGGAGCAGCCCAGAGCCUGAAUCAGUGUGUGUGUUAGUGGAAGCGUCUGGAAAGGCGCGCGAUACAGGGUGACAGCCCCGUACACAAAAAUGCACAUGCUGUGAGCUCGAUGAGUAGGGCGGGACACGUGGUAUCCUGUCUGAAUAUGGGGGGACCAUCCUCCAAGGCUAAAUACUCCUGACUGACCGAUAGUGAACCAGUACCGUGAGGGAAAGGCGAAAAGAACCCCGGCGAGGGGAGUGAAAAAGAACCUGAAACCGUGUACGUACAAGCAGUGGGAGCACAGAGCAAUCUGUGUGACUGCGUACCUUUUGUAUAAUGGGUCAGCGACUUAUAUUCUGUAGCAAGGUUAACCGAAUAGGGGAGCCGAAGGGAAACCGAGUCUUAACUGGGCGUUAAGUUGCAGGGUAUAGACCCGAAACCCGGUGAUCUAGCCAUGGGCAGGUUGAAGGUUGGGUAACACUAACUGGAGGACCGAACCGACUAAUGUUGAAAAAUUAGCGGAUGACUUGUGGCUGGGGGUGAAAGGCCAAUCAAACCGGGAGAUAGCUGGUUCUCCCCGAAAGCUAUUUAGGUAGCGCCUCGUGAAUUCAUCUCCGGGGGUAGAGCACUGUUUCGGCAAGGGGGUCAUCCCGACUUACCAACCCGAUGCAAACUGCGAAUACCGGAGAAUGUUAUCACGGGAGACACACGGCGGGUGCUAACGUCCGUCGUGAAGAGGGAAACAACCCAGACCGCCAGCUAAGGUCCCAAAGUCAUGGUUAAGUGGGAAACGAUGUGGGAAGGCCCAGACAGCCAGGAUGUUGGCUUAGAAGCAGCCAUCAUUUAAAGAAAGCGUAAUAGCUCACUGGUCGAGUCGGCCUGCGCGGAAGAUGUAACGGGGCUAAACCAUGCACCGAAGCUGCGGCAGCGACACUAUGUGUUGUUGGGUAGGGGAGCGUUCUGUAAGCCUGUGAAGGUGUACUGUGAGGUAUGCUGGAGGUAUCAGAAGUGCGAAUGCUGACAUAAGUAACGAUAAAGCGGGUGAAAAGCCCGCUCGCCGGAAGACCAAGGGUUCCUGUCCAACGUUAAUCGGGGCAGGGUGAGUCGACCCCUAAGGCGAGGCCGAAAGGCGUAGUCGAUGGGAAACAGGUUAAUAUUCCUGUACUUGGUGUUACUGCGAAGGGGGGACGGAGAAGGCUAUGUUGGCCGGGCGACGGUUGUCCCGGUUUAAGCGUGUAGGCUGGUUUUCCAGGCAAAUCCGGAAAAUCAAGGCUGAGGCGUGAUGACGAGGCACUACGGUGCUGAAGCAACAAAUGCCCUGCUUCCAGGAAAAGCCUCUAAGCAUCAGGUAACAUCAAAUCGUACCCCAAACCGACACAGGUGGUCAGGUAGAGAAUACCAAGGCGCUUGAGAGAACUCGGGUGAAGGAACUAGGCAAAAUGGUGCCGUAACUUCGGGAGAAGGCACGCUGAUAUGUAGGUGAAGCGACUUGCUCGUGGAGCUGAAAUCAGUCGAAGAUACCAGCUGGCUGCAACUGUUUAUUAAAAACACAGCACUGUGCAAACACGAAAGUGGACGUAUACGGUGUGACGCCUGCCCGGUGCCGGAAGGUUAAUUGAUGGGGUUAGCGGUAACGCGAAGCUCUUGAUCGAAGCCCCGGUAAACGGCGGCCGUAACUAUAACGGUCCUAAGGUAGCGAAAUUCCUUGUCGGGUAAGUUCCGACCUGCACGAAUGGCGUAAUGAUGGCCAGGCUGUCUCCACCCGAGACUCAGUGAAAUUGAACUCGCUGUGAAGAUGCAGUGUACCCGCGGCAAGACGGAAAGACCCCGUGAACCUUUACUAUAGCUUGACACUGAACAUUGAGCCUUGAUGUGUAGGAUAGGUGGGAGGCUUAGAAGUGUGGACGCCAGUCUGCAUGGAGCCGACCUUGAAAUACCACCCUUUAAUGUUUGAUGUUCUAACGUUGGCCCCUGAUCGGGGUUGCGGACAGUGUCUGGUGGGUAGUUUGACUGGGGCGGUCUCCUCCUAAAGAGUAACGGAGGAGCACGAAGGUUGGCUAAUCCUGGUCGGACAUCAGGAGGUUAGUGCAAUGGCAUAAGCCAGCUUGACUGCGAGCGUGACGGCGCGAGCAGGUGCGAAAGCAGGUCAUAGUGAUCCGGUGGUUCUGAAUGGAAGGGCCAUCGCUCAACGGAUAAAAGGUACUCCGGGGAUAACAGGCUGAUACCGCCCAAGAGUUCAUAUCGACGGCGGUGUUUGGCACCUCGAUGUCGGCUCAUCACAUCCUGGGGCUGAAGUAGGUCCCAAGGGUAUGGCUGUUCGCCAUUUAAAGUGGUACGCGAGCUGGGUUUAGAACGUCGUGAGACAGUUCGGUCCCUAUCUGCCGUGGGCGCUGGAGAACUGAGGGGGGCUGCUCCUAGUACGAGAGGACCGGAGUGGACGCAUCACUGGUGUUCGGGUUGUCAUGCCAAUGGCACUGCCCGGUAGCUAAAUGCGGAAGAGAUAAGUGCUGAAAGCAUCUAAGCACGAAACUUGCCCCGAGAUGAGUUCUCCCUGACUCCUUGAGAGUCCUGAAGGAACGUUGAAGACGACGACGUUGAUAGGCCGGGUGUGUAAGCGCAGCGAUGCGUUGAGCUAACCGGUACUAAUGAACCGUGAGGCUUAACCUU